UAAAAUGCAGCCCAUAUUUGCACCAUUAACCCUGAAAGUUAAUUUGUAGUGCUUCCUCGGAUAUAAUCUAUAUAUUUUCAUAUGCCUCUUCAAACGUAAAAGCUCUCAAGCAAAUACAGGCUAUUUCCUGCUGCGAAUUGAUUAAGACUUUUCAACAAUACACAUGUAAAUAGUGGUUGUUUCUAAGGAUUGUAGAUGCAAAUUGUAUCUUUUAAUGGGCAUACAUGAAAGGCGAAGCGAAAUUGAUUAUAUCUUUUAGGAUUGUGGGUGCGAAUUAUAGCAAUUGUAUAUUUUGUUCCAUGCGACUUGGCCACACACCAAUUUUAUCAUCUUCUGGGUUAAGCACUCCUGGCUAUGUUUUUCUCAACAUCGCCAUGAAUGGAAUAGAAGUGAAAAAUAAAAUUGAAUUGUUUUGAAAUGAAAAAUGGAAUGAUAAAUCAUCCAAAAAUAUUUGGUUCAUUAUUAGAGUGAAAAUCAAAAUGAGAAUCUACGAUUUUGAGAGGUGGUUUUGAUUAAAAGAGAUGGAGGGAGAGGCGGGAGGUGUUUAUGAGAGAGGAUUUUGAAAAUUAACUUUGGAAUGGGUCAAUCCAGGGUUCAAAGCCGGAUCGGGUCAUAAAAGGAUUUGAUCGUUCCAUUCCAGAGUGGAAUAGAAAGCGGAAUUCGAUUUCUGGAAAACAAAUAACAACUAUCGAAAUCGUCGAAUUUUAUUUCGAUUUCAUAGCCUAAAAUAAAUUGAC
rnacentral:lncRNA from 1 species